rnacentral:rRNA from 1 species
AGUGAACGCUGGCGGCGUGCUUAACACAUGCAAGUCGAACGAGAACGGUCCUUCGGGAUGUCAGCUAAGUGGCGGACGGGUGAGUAAUGUAUAGUUAAUUUGCCUCUUGGAGGGGGAUAACAGUUGGAAACGACUGCUAAUACCCCAUACUCCUUUCUACUUAAUGUAGAUUGGGAAAUGUUUUUUCGCCAAGAGAUAAGACUAUAUGGUAUCAGGUAAUUGGUAGGGUAAGAGCCUACCAAGCCUAUGACGCCUAGCUGGUCUGAGAGGAUGAUCAGCCACACUGGAACUGAGACACGGUCCAGACUCCUACGGGAGGCAGCAGUGGGGAAUAUUGCACAAUGGAGGAAACUCUGAUGCAGCAACGCCGCGUGGAGGAUGACACAUUUCGGUGCGUAAACUCCUUUUAUAUGGGAAGAUAAUGACGGUACCAUAUGAAUAAGCACCGCUAACU